rnacentral:sRNA from 1 species
UAGUUUAUAUUUCUACCCUUUAUGAUG